rnacentral:rRNA from 1 species
UUUCGCGCGAUCGCCUUGAGUUGAUAUGGCUCAGGACGAACGCUGGCGGCGCGCCUAACACAUGCAAGUCGAGCGAGAACCCGAGGAGGGGUAACCCUUCUCGGGGGAGAGCGGCGAACGGGUGAGUACCACGUGGGCAACCUGCCCCAGACUCUGGGAUAACCCCGGGAAACCGGAGCUAAUACCGGAUACUCUCGGCGGACCGCAUGAUCUGCCGAGGAAAGCUUUCGCGGUCUGGGAUGGGCCCGCGGCCUAUCAGCUUGUUGGUGAGGUAACGGCCCACCAAGGCGACGACGGGUAGCUGGUCUGAGAGGACGGCCAGCCACACUGGGACUGAGACACGGCCCAGACUCCUACGGGAGGCAGCAGUGGGGAAUCUUGCGCAAUGGGCGAAAGCCUGACGCAGCGACGCCGCGUGGGGGAUGAAGGCCCUCGGGUUGUAAACCCCUUUCGGCAGGGACGAAGCCGCAAGGUGACGGUACCUGCAGAAGAAGCUCCGGCUAACUACGUGCCAGCAGCCGCGGUAAGACGUAGGGAGCGAGCGUUGUCCGGAUUCAUUGGGCGUAAAGAGCGCGUAGGCGGCCGUGCAAGUCGGUUGUGAAAUCCCGGGGCUCAACCCCGGGACUGCGUCCGAUACUGCACGGCUCGAGGCAGGUAGGGGAGAGUGGAAUUCCCGGUGUAGCGGUGAAAUGCGCAGAUAUCGGGAGGAACACCGGUGGCGAAGGCGGCUCUCUGGACCUGUCCUGACGCUGANGCGCGAAAGCUAGGGGAGCGAACA